UGGCCGUCACCAUCCGACAGCGGUUGACACACGGUCGGGCCGGCUUUUAACCGGCGAGUUCAGGGUUCGAGUCCCUGACGGCCCACCU
rnacentral:tRNA from 2 species